AAGUGGGAUGAGACUGAAGAAAAGGCUGAGCAUCUCAUAAGAAAGCUUUGAAGAUGCCCUUGUAUGACCUCUGUGCAGCAGGCCACUCCCCUUCCUACCAGCAGAUGACUCAGGGUUUAUUCUGUGGGAACAUCUCAGCUUAGAGAAGGAACCCAGCUGCACCUAAAGGCUCUGCACUGGAAAGAAAAAGCUUGAAUGCAAAUUUGCAUACCAACUCACCAAGGAGAACCACAAUCCUAGGAGAGCUCCUAUCAAGCACAGAGGAGGCAGCCACCUGAAGAUGAACACAACACUCUUGAACAGUAAUGGCCUGUGAAGUCAAAAUGACCUUGAAGAUGUGUCCCAGAAAAUACCAGCCACUUGGCAUAAAGGCCGGGCAGCUGUAGAUGCACAAUGGGGCAUGCGGCUGAUGAGCAGGAAUGAAGUUAAUCCCCAGCUGUGAUAGCCUUGAGGAAGUGUGCAUGUGUGGCACAUCCUGAAAUCUGGAAACAGUCAAUGAAUAAUGAAUGGGAGUUCCAGACAGUGGCAGGAGAAAGGACAUCCUGGACCUGAAAUGUGAUCCUGAUGUUCACUGCAGGUACUACCUGGCGAGCUGAGGGGUGCCCAGGGUUCUGUGUGUUUGGAGAGAUGAGUGCUGAGACCAUCCAAAUGGAAUAGAAUAUCCCUUCACCUACCUGGAUGGGCAUCAGCACCUCCACACACACACAAGGUUCUGAAGAGAGUCAGAAGCAGAGGAAGGAUAAAGUCACUCUCCUCUCAAGCUGGACCACCCUUCUCCUACCCAUACAUCAGUUCUACCUCACAAGGAGCUCCAGACUCCAAGACUCAGUGCAACUCCAGCCUUUGGCCUUUGAACCACAUAAAUUACUCCUCCAAGUCAGGGUUCCCCAGCCUGAAAAUUUCCUCUGGUCUAGCUGCCUUUGUCUGUGUAUCACAUUGACUGUGGUUCUGGAGAACCCUGACCACUAUAGUGAGAGAGUAAACUCAGUGUGGCCCUCACCUCUGCGGGGAGGGGUUGCCAUCACCCUCACAUUUACCCUGAAGAAACACAAACCACACAAGCACAGAGAGAGGAAAUCUAUCUCAAUUCUGGAGGAGCAGUAAUGCUGUUUGAGUCCCAAGGAUGCCUAUGCUAUGGGCAUCUGCCAGAGUGAAACAGAUCUUUGUGAGGCUGACCUGUUAUAUAAGGCCACAGGUAGAAUGGGGAGUUGGUAAAGUGACUGCCUUGCAAACAUGAAGACCUGAGUUCGAGGCCUAGAAUCCACAUUAAAAACAAAUCUAAAAACCCAGGUAUGCCAUCAACUGAAGAAUGGAUAAAGAACAUUUGGUACAUUUACAAAAUGGAGUAUUACUCAGCAGUGAAAAAACAUGGCAUCUUGAAAUUUUAAGGCAAAUGUAUGGAACGAGAAAAGGCCAUCCUGAGUGAGGUAACAACCCAGGAAGACAAUCGCAGUAUGUGUUUACUCAGAAGUAGAUAUUAGAUGUAAAAAAAGGAUAACCAGGCUAUAAUCCACAACCACAGUGAAAUUAGGUAAAAAGAAGGAGCCUAAGUGGGACACACAUGGAGGGCCCUAAGAAGGGAAAUUAGUUAAGAUCUCCUGGGUAAACUGGGAGGAUGGUUAAAAGGGAGGGGAUGGAGGAUGAGAACAUGAGGGAUCAAGAAGACUGAGUUGGGCAAGGAAUGCAGUAGGAAAGCAAUGAAAGAGGUAUCUUGAUAGAGGGAGCCAUUAUGGUGUUAGGAAGGAAUUCUCAGGAAUCCACAAGGAUGACCCCAGCUAAGACUCCUAGCAAUAGUGGAGAGGGUACCUAAAAGGGCCUUCCCCUAUAACCAGUGACUACCCUAAUUGUCAUCAUAGAAGCUACAUCCAGUAACUGAUGGAAGCAGAUGCAGUGACCCACAGCCAAGCACUGGGCUGAGCUCCUGGAGCUCAGGUGAAAUGAGGGAGGAGGGAUCACAUGGACAAGGGGAGUCAGGAUAAUGAUGGGGAAAGAGACAGCUGACCCGAGCUAGUGGAAGCUCUGGACUCUGGACGGACAGCUGGGGAACCUGCAUGGGACCAAACUAGGCCCUCCGAAUGUAGGCAGCAGUUAUGUGGCUUGAUCUGUUGAGGGGGGUGGUGCUAGCAGUGGCACCAGGACCUAUCCUAGGGCCAUGAACAGACUUUCUGGAGCCCAUUUUCUAUGGUGGGAUACCUUGCUCAGCCUUGAUACAGAAGGGAGGAGUUUGGUCCAGCCUCAACUUGGUAUGCUAGACUUCGUUGACUCCCCCAGGAAGGCCUUACUUCCUCUGAGGAGUAGAUACGGGGGGUGAGAAAGGAAGGAGUUGGGGGAGGAGAAGGGGAGGGAGUGGGAACUGGGAUUGGUAUGUAAAAUAAAAAAAUUAAAUAAAAACAAACAAAGAAACUAAAACAAACAAACAAAAAUCCAAAAAAAAAAUCAAAAACAAAAAACAGGCAUGGCAGUAUGCAUUUGAAAUCCCUGUGCUGGGAGGAUGAAGACAGGCAUGUCCCUGGGGCUCACUGGCCAGCCAUCUUCACCUACUUGGCAAGCUUCAGGCCAAGAAACACUUUCUCACAACAAAAGACGGACAGUGCCUGAGAAAUGCCCCAGAGGCUGUUCUCUGGCUUCAACACACAGGCAUAGACAUCUGCAUCUGCAUGCUUCUACAUACAAAUAAAGAAUAAGUAAAAGGUUUCA